GCCGCGGAAAAUUACCGAGUUGUAUAGAGAGAAAAAACCCGUGAGCGAAAAUAGGAAUCAGAGAGAGGGAGACUGAGAGUGAGAGUAAUGGAAGAAGAGCGGAGCAACAGCAGUAGAAGUAAAAACAAUGGCAGCAUACGGGCAGAGCUGAGUGGCUCUGACGAAAUGCCCACUGGUCGUUUCAAAAGUUACGGAAACUAUCAGGACAGAGAAGAAAACAACCCCUGUUAAAGAACCAGGCGUGAAAAGGAAUGAAGGGAUUGUGGGGAACUAGAGGAUACCAUACUAUAUUUAAGCUUUUUGAAAGACAAGCUAAUUUGACCUUGAAGCAGCUAGUCCAAGAUACAGAGAAACCUGCAUUGUAAAUGAGAUCGUGUAAAGAAGAUGGAUGCUGGAAUUAAACAGAGCAAGUGCUAUCCGUCUCCGGUACUGUGGUGCUGGUCCAGGUCACGUGAAUUAGUCUCUUCACAAAAAGCAGCCACUUUGUGUAUCAAGGACCGCAUUGGUGGUAAGCGAGUUGGCAAAAUAGCUGGACUUUUAAGUGUCCUCUCAUUGUCACACGAUCGCAGCAUCCAACCUGCUUGCAGAGUUGCGGUAGUAGUCUUGUGAUCCAUAUGUCGUGUGAGAGAGAGAGACUUUGUUUUGCUCGGCCCUUGGUGGGGCGGUAGAAGCCUUUGGGCGACUCAUCCCUUUUGAACCAUAGCGGUUCUGGAGCCACUAAUGGUCAUGCCCGGUGAAAGUAGCUAUGUCGGUUGCCCCCUCAGCCACCCUUUUUUCUUAGCAAAAAGAAAAUGUCAGAUUUUUAAAUUUGUUUCCCAAUCUGCCCUUCAAAAAACCAUCAAACUAAUGGAGUUUGGCGUAUUCGUUUGUUUGUUUUGUUUGUUACUCAUGAUGGUCGACACACCAAGACAAGAAGAGAGUCAUACCCUCCAACUACGGCGGAAAGCUCAAUAAAUAAACGCAGAAGCUACGAAGAUACGAGACAGCUCCAGCACGGAAAAUGACUGAUCUGGGGGCAGCCAAUGUGAUCCAACCCAGUAUUUGUCUCCCCAAAUUUGAGGGUUGGAAACAUAAAGCUUCAUCCCAUGUUUGUCCAGAUCGAGUUUCUUAUGCUGUUUUUGUCAAAACGACAACGCCAAACGUAGCUCUGGGAAUUGAGAAUUCCUGCUUGAUCUUGAGACUUUAUAUCAUGUUUUGGUGAAUUUGGUAGUCCUUGUUAAAUGUACAAGUUAACUCCGCAAUAUACCAUGUUUUGUAUUUUAUCUUUCAAGAGUCUCAAGUUCGGAGAAAAGAGGAGGGUUGGGGGUUACUCACUACGAACGCCUUCGUACAAUGUUGUCCGUCUAUGCAUCCAUCUCUUGACUCGUGAUGGGAUGAACGUACAGUCAAAGGAUAGGAACCACAACAUGGUCGAGUUAAUCGGAAAAUUUAUUGGAGAGGAAUGAGUGAAGAGAGAUAGAUAGAGAAAGUUUAUUGGAGAUUGAGUUUUGAGA